CAAUAGCGUAUAUUAACGUUGUUGCAGUUAAAAAGCUCGUAGUUGGAUUUCUGGAGGGAGCGUCGGCCCGUAUUUACGAGUGCGUGACGUCUCUGUCCAUCCUUGCGGGAAGGCACGGCAUUGAUUUGUUGUGUCGGAUCGCAUCAUUUACUGUGAAAAAAUUAGAGUGUUCAAAGCAGGCUUUCGCUUGAAUACAUUAGCAUGGAAUAAUAAGAUAGGACUUUGGUGCUAUUUUGUUGGUUGAGCCUAAAGUAAUGAUUAAUAGGGAUAGUUGGGGGCACCUCUAUUGCGUUGUCAGAGGUGAAAUUCUUGGAUUUACGCAAGACAAACAGCUGCGAAAGCGUCUGCCAAGGAUGUUUUCAUUAA
rnacentral:rRNA from 1 species